UCAAUGGAAUUGUAUUAGUAGGUGAAUGAAUAAAGGGACUUGGAUAUAUUCAAUCAUUGGAAUUUUAUCAGCACUUAAAAGAAAUGUGUUACCAAGUUAUGGAAAACAUAGAGAAACUUUAAGUGUAUAUUACUAAGUAAAAAAAAAAAUAAAAAAUAAAAAAUAAAAAAAGAAUUUACUAUCUUAUUUGGAGACUAGGCAAUUACAAAUGAUGUUAUGAGAUUUACACAAAGAAUGAUAUUAUGAAUAUAUAUAAAAAAGAACCUAUUAACUCUGCUCUUGGUACUCUAAUUGAAGGUUCACAACAAAUUCC
rnacentral:lncRNA from 1 species